rnacentral:rRNA from 1 species
AUACAGAGGGUGCGAGCGUUAAUCGGAAUUACUGGGCGUAAAGCGCGCGUAGGCGGCUUAUUAAGUCAGAUGUGAAAUCCCCGGGCUUAACCUGGGAACUGCAUCUGAUACUGGUAAGCUAGAGUUUUGGAGAGGGAAGUAGAAUUUCAGGUGUAGCGGUGAAAUGCAUAGAGAUCUGAAGGAAUACCAGUGGCGAAGGCGACUUCCUGGCCAAAAACUGACGCUGAGGUGCGAAAGCGUGGGUAGCAAACGGGAUUAGAAACCCUUGUAGUCC